rnacentral:rRNA from 1 species
GUGUCAGCAGCCGCGGUAAGACGAACCGUCCGAACGUUAUUCGGUAUCACUGGGCUUAAAGAGUUCGUAGGCGGCCAGAUAGGUCAGGUGUGAAAUCCCACAGCUCAACUGUGGAACUGCGCUUGAAACCAUCUGGCUUGAGGGAGAUAGAGGUGAGCGGAACUGAUGGUGGAGCGGUGAAAUGCGUUGAUAUCAUCAGGAACACCGGUGGCGAAGGCGGCUCACUGGGUCUCUUCUGACGCUGAGGAACGAAAGCUAGGGGAGCGAACGGGAUUAGAUACCCCGGUAGUCCUAGCCGUAAACGAUGAGCACUAGCCCGUGGGGACCCUCACAUCCUCUCGGGCGUAGCGAAAGUGUCAAGUGCUCCGCCUGGGGAGUAUGGUCGCAAGGCUGAAACUCAAAUGAAUUGACGGGG